rnacentral:lncRNA from 1 species
CAAAGCUAAAAAAUAGCUAAUUUAACUAGCCAGUUUUGGCCAACUACAUAUAAAUACAUAUGAAUUAAAUCCUGUUUUAUAUUCAUAUAUCAUAUAAAAGUUAUAAAACUGUGGAUAGAGGAAGGUGGAGAAGAGGAAGUUAGGUCACUGGAAGGUUCAUUCCUUAAUGUCAAUGGAAGGAGACAAGUUGAUCGAUGGAGAAGGAGAAGGAGAGAGAAGAGAAAAAUAAAAUAGGGGUGGUGCUGUAGUGGAAACUAGGGUUUUCUAAAUUAGAUGAAUGGAAUUAGAAUUAUCAGUUACAGAAAAUAACAAUUCAGUUGUUUGACCACACUAGUGUCAACAUCAGAUGCAUCUAUUGCAGAAAACAAUAAUCCUGUGUUUUUGUUGGACAUGGUAGUGUUUUUUCUUUAGCACAUAUUAUUCCAAAUUUUCUUCCCAUGUUAUUUUGUUAUUUUUUUAGCACAUUGUAGACUUGUAGUGUUUCAUUUGACGUUUAUGUUUGCUAAACUUCUUCAACAGUUGAGAUUGUUUAUAUUUUAUCGUGUUUUGUUCAUGAAAGUACUUCAAAAUAGCUUUGACAGUUCUUUAUAAUAUGAUCAGAACAAAGGGACAGAAAUUGAAGCUGGAGCAACUCCUUAGGAACUCAAACGGUUACAAAAAAGCUAAGUUGGUGAAAUCUCAAACCCCUUCGGAAGAAAUUUGAAAUUUUAGAUUUUGUAUCAGAUUUAGACGAAAGGCAAUUCUAAUUUGAAACCACAUCAAAAUCUAAGCUUCCAUAGGUUUGUAGUUUGAACCAUUUUGGUGAAAUGAUUUUCAUUGUAUCAAUAAUGAUGUUUUGAUAUAUCUAUGAUUUUGACUAGAAUCUCAUUAAUAUUCUAUGAUUAUUUCUGCAUAGACGUAUUUUUUAUUCAAAGUUGUACUCUAACAAAUUCCCUUUGCUGGGUUGCUACUUGUUAGAUAGUUAUUUUGAUAUCUCAUCUGAAACUAGUUUAGUUUUAAUAUUUUAUCUUUUAAUUACAUUUACAUUUUACAG